AUACGGAGGAUCCGAGCGUUAUCCGGAUUUAUUGGGUUUAAAGGGUGCGUAGGUGGCCCAUUAAGUCAGUGGUGAAAGACGGCAGCUCAACUGUCGCAGUGCCUUUGAUACUGAUGGGCUUGAAUAUUGAUGAAGAUGGCGGAAUGAGACAAGUAGCGGUGAAAUGCAUAGAUAUGUCUCAGAACACCGAUUGCGAAGGCAGCUAUCUAAGCAAUGAUUGACGCUGAUGCACGAAAGCGUGGGGAUCAAACAGGAUUAGAUACCCUGGUAGUCCACGCCCUAAACGAUGAUAACUCGAUGUUAGCGAUAUACAGUUAGCGUCUUAGCGAAAGCGUUAAGUUAUCCACCUGGGGAGUACGGUCGCAAGAUUGAA
rnacentral:rRNA from 1 species